AGGCUUUCCUGCAGACUGGAUACUUUUUUAGUGCGUACGCGACUAAAAAAGGAUGGCGACUUCAAUUUUAAAUCCAAGAAUGUUCCAGAACAACACUUAACAAAACGAAGAACUAUUUCUCAGCAACCAACAAGGACUGUUUCUCAACAAGCAAUCUUCUCAACAAGGAAGAAUCUGAAAACGACAUAUGGUACUGUGAGAACAGGAAAUAUAACUUUGCUUGAGGGCAGUGGUUCUGACAGCGAAAAUGAAGAUGGGGUUAAAAUCCAUCCUGAAAUCAUCAGUGGUCAGCCUCAUCGACCUACACACCCUGGUCUGAAACCUUCCCUCAAUCCUAUAGUGAACCCUGGUGUUACAAAGGAGGAAGCAACAAAACCAUCAACUGGAAAAA